rnacentral:rRNA from 1 species
AUUGAACGCUGGCGGCAGGCCUAACACAUGCAAGUCGGGCGAGCCGCGGACGGGUGUGUAAUGUAUGGGGAUCUGCCUGAUGGAGGGGGAUAACUACUGGAAACGGUAGCAAAUCCCGCAUACUCUCAGGUGACCCCAUCUGGGUUUCGCUUGUAGGGGAGGUAACGGCUCCCCUGGGCGACGAGCCCUAGCUGGUCUGAGAGGAUGCUCAGCCACACUGGGACUGAGACACGGCCCAGACUCCUACGGUAGGCAGCAGUGGGGAAUAUUGCACAAUGGGCGCAAGCCUGAUGCAGCCAUGCCGCGUGUAUGAAGAAGGCCUUCGGGUUGUAAAGUACUUUCAGUCGGGAGGCGUUACCGACAGAAGAAGCACCGGCUAACUCCGUGCCAGCAGCCGCGGUAAUAC